UGAGACCUUGAGUCUCCUGAAGGAACGUUGAAGACGACGACGUUGAUAGGUCGGGUGUGUAAGCGCAGCGAUGCGUUGAGCUAACCGAUACUAAUGAACCGUGAGGCUUAACCUUACAACGCCGAAG
rnacentral:rRNA from 1 species